GUGUGAAUUGCAGAAUUCCGCGAAUCAUCGAGUCUUUGAACGCAAGUUGCGCCCGAGGCUUGUCCGAGGGCAUUCCCGUUAGAGCGUCACCGCGCCACCCACCGCCCCGUUCCCAAGCGGUUCGAGGGUCGAGUGGAACUGGCCGUCCCGACCGGGGACUGGACGAAUGGAAGGGAACCCCGGUCAGGUCGGCUGAAAUGGAUGGAAGUUAGGCCCCGCGGCGACCCGGCCCGCGAUCAGGUGACCCGCGCCGCGAUUGGCUUCGCGGUAGCGGUCUUAUCAAACGCGCGCGGCCGCCGUCGCCCAGUUCGGUUUUCGUUCCGCACGAAGCAGGUCUUUGAUUUCCCCCCCCUUCAAAUUUAAUUUUUUUGCAAGGGAGGGGAAAAAUCGAAUGAGAGAUGGUCACGCAACGGACCUCUAAUCGGGAAAGAUCACCCGCUGAGUUUAA
rnacentral:rRNA from 1 species